rnacentral:snoRNA from 1 species
UAGAAUUGUUUUUAAGAUCCUGUAUUGAAAUAAACAUUGUCUUAUUUUGUCUCUAACUAUCUAAAAUAUGUCUUGAGGAGGAGGCAUAGUGUUCCCUUCUGAGCGUGAAGCUGGCUUUUGGUUUUGCUUUGCUGCAGCUGCCUAUUGCCAUUGAUGAUCGUUCUUCUCUCCUUUCUGGAGAACAAGAGGGAGGGAAUGCAGUCUGAGUGGUU